AGUUGGGCGGCGUCGCUGCUCGGCCGCCGGCGUGGAGGAGGGGAGCCGGCGAUCCCGGCCGCGGCUCCGGGGUGGGCGCCCGAGGCUCCAGGAGCCUGCUCCAGCCGGGCCUCCCGCGCCGACGCGCCUCUCGGUUCCCCAUUCUCCGUCCCGCUCCUCGUCCAGGUGCGUGAGGUCUGCAGACACGUGGAGGCCCGGCCCGGCCCGGCCCCGGGGCCUUUCCUGCGCGGUCGGGCGCACGCUCACACGGUGUGCUUGCUCCUAUUUAUUUUUAGUUAUUUUUAAAGAUUUCUUUCAUUCAUGCAUUCAUUCAUUCGUUCAUUUCAUUCAUUCAUUCAUUCAUUCAUUCAUUCAUUCAUUCAUUCAUUCAUUCAUUCAUUCUUGAGAGACCCAGAGCGAGGCAGAGAGCCAGGCGGAGGGCGAAGCAGGCUCCGUGCGGGGAGCCCGACGCGGGACUCGAUCCGGUGACCCGGGGUCACGCCCUGGGCCGCGGGCAGCCGCGCCGCCGAGCCCCGGGGUCCCCGCUCUGUUCCUAGAGGGGGACACAGCGCGUGUGCGGCGGGCUCGGGGCCGGGAUCUCCAGGUGCUGUCUGACCGCCCGCCCGCCCCGCGCCCCGAGCGCACAGACUGAAGAUCGGUCAGAGAAAUUGGGGACGCAGGGGCGACCCCGAGCUGUUUGGUUCCUGGCCCCGCAGUCAUCAGGGCAGAGCAGGAGGCCGUGGCUCGCGUGACAAGGUGCUUGGAAGGUCCGCGUCGUUAUUGCCCAGAAGGAGGGACAUCUGCUACCUCUGGGAACAGUCGGCCCGGGAAGGGCGGUCUCCGCAGCGCUCCAGAUGACAUCAAAAAAAUAAAUAAAAGAGCAUUAUCAAGAGUUUUCUCCUAGACCUGUAUCGCACACCUACGUACCAAAGGAUUACUCCCUGAAAAAGACACAAGUCUCCUCUCGAGUGGCUUGCGGUCCACAGAGAUGCAGAGAGAGAGAGAGAGAGAGGCAGAGACACAGGCAGAGGGAGAAGCAGACUCCAUGCAGAGAGCCUGACGUGGAACUUGAUCCAGGGUCUCCAGGAUCACGCCCUGGGCUGCAGGAGGCGCUAAACAGCUGCGCCACCGGGGCUGCCCUGAAGAAUGUAUUAUUAAGUACUGUUUAAACCUAAAGUUUUUUAUUUUUUACUAAGGAAGAUGCUCCUGCAAAGAAGGAUGAACACACUGGAACAUGUGAAUGAUUGGUGUAGGCUUAACUGGACAUAGCUUCUGUGGUGGAGGAAAAGCAAGAUAAAUUGGAUAAAGAGGAGUGGAAGCUGAGAAGCCCACACAUCACAGCAUCAGACAGAGCGGCAGCAUCUUUCUAGGUCUCCAUUUCUACUUCCAGACUGUUACUUCUCCAUCUUCAUUUACAAAUCCCUGCUUCUCUGAGGCUCAUCACUUAUUCUGUACUAUAGCUCUAUCACUUCCCCACAUGUUCCAUCUAGGUCUAAAUUCCAAGGAUUUAUAAAUCUCUCUAUUGGAAAUUGUCACCUAGAUAUAAAGCAGCCCCAAUUCAAACCAUCAGCUACUUGCUACUACCUCUUCUUUUGGGGCCAUCUAACUUUCACUCUUGCAAUUUGGCUUGGACUGCCCAACCUGGCUCUUGAAUGUCUCACCAGGUUACUUUUUUUGCUCACCUCUCAAAUACCAGUGUCCCCUAGGUUUCUGUCCUGUCAGAUUCUCCACACAGUUCCUGGAGGCCACCUCAUCCAGUUCUUCCUAGUCUAGGCAUUCUUUUAAACCCCAGAUCCAUUUACCCACUGCCCAUCACACUUUCCCCUCAGUGCCCUGAAAUUAAAUAUGGCCUAAGCUGAAUUCA